rnacentral:rRNA from 1 species
ACGGUCCUAAGGUAGCGAAAUUCCUUGUCGGGUAAGUUCCGACCCGCACGAAAGGCGUAACGAUUUGGGCACUGUCUCAACAACAGACUCGGUGAAAUUGUAAUUCCGGUGAAGAUGCCGGAUACCUGCGACAGGACGGAAAGACCCCAUGGAGCUUUACUGUAGCUUGACAUUGGGUCUUGGUACUACAUGUACAGGAUAGGUGGGAGGCUUUGAAACCAGGACGCCAGUUUUGGCGGAGCCAUCCUUGGGAUACCACCCUUGUAGUACUGGGACUCUAACCAUAGGCCAUGAAUCUGGUCUUGGGACACUGUCAGGUGGGCAGUUUGACUGGGGCGGUCGCCUCCCAAAAGGUAACGGAGGCGCUCAAAGGUUCUCUCAGUACGGUCGGAAAUCGUACGUAGAGUGUAAAGGCAAAAGAGAGCUUGAUUGCAAGACAUACAGGUCGAGCAAGGAUGAAAAUCGGACUUAGUGAUCCGGUGGUUCUGCGUGGAAGGGCCAUCGCUCAACGGAUAAAAGCUACCCUGGGGAUAACAGGCUUAUCUCCCCCAAGAGUCCACAUCGACGGGGAGGUUUGGCACCUCGAUGUCGGCUCAUCACAUCCUGGGGCUGUAGUAGGUCCCAAGGGUUGGGCUGUUCGCCCAUUAAAGUGGUACGCGAGCUGGGUUCAGAACGUCGUGAGACAGUUCGGUCCCUAUCCGUCGCAGGCGUAGGAAAUUUGAGAAGACCUGUCCUUAGUACGAGAGGACCGGGAUGGACGUACCUCUGGUGUACCAGUUGUCCUGCCAAGGGCAUGGCUGGGUAGCUAUGUACGGAAUGGAUAAGCGCUGAAAGCAUCUAAGCGCGAAGCCAACUUCAAGAUAAGAUUUCCCACCGCAAGGGUAAGACCCCAGAAAGACUAUCUGGUUGAUAGGUCGAAGGUGUAAGUGCAGCAAUGUAUUUAGCUUAUCGAUACUAAUAGGUCGAGGACUUGACCAA